rnacentral:rRNA from 1 species
GGCGGCGUGCUUAACACAUGCAAGUCGAGCGGAAAGGCCCUUCGGGGUACUCGAGCGGCGAACGGGUGAGUAACACGUGAGUAACCUCCCCCAGGCUUUGGGAUAACCCUCGGAAACGGGGGCUAAUACCGGAUAUUCAUUCCUAGCGGCAUCGUUGGGUGUGGAAAGUUUUUCGGCUUGGGAUGGGCUCGCGGCCUAUCAGCUUGUUGGUGGGGUGAUGGCCUACCAAGGCGACGACGGGUAGCCGGCCUGAGAGGGCGACCGGCCACACUGGGACUGAGACACGGCCCAGACUCCUACGGGAGGCAGCAGUGGGGAAUAUUGCACAAUGGGCGGAAGCCUGAUGCAGCGACGCCGCGUGAGGGAUGAAGGCCUUCGGGUUGUAAACCUCUUUCGACAGGGACGAAGCGCAAGUGACGGUACCUGGAGAAGAAGCGCCGGCCAACUACGUGCCAGCAGCCGCGGUAAGACGUAGGGCGCGAGCGUUGUCCGGAUUUAUUGGGCGUAAAGAGCUCGUAGGCGGCUUGUUGCGUCAGCUGUGAAAACCCGCAGCUCAACUGUGGGCUUGCAGCUGAUACGGGCAGGCUUGAGUUCGGUAGGGGAGACUGGAAUUCCUGGUGUAGCGGUGAAAUGCGCAGAUAUCAGGAGGAACACCGGUGGCGAAGGCGGGUCUCUGGGCCGAUACUGACGCUGAGGAGCGAAAGCGUGGGGAGCGAACAGGAUUAGAUACCCUGGUAGUCCACGCUGUAAACGUUGGGCGCUAGGUGUGGGGGGCCUCUCCGGUCCUCUGUGCCGCAGCUAACGCAUUAAGCGCCCCGCCUGGGGAGUACGGCCGC